UACGUAUGGAGCAAGCGUUAUCCGGAUUUACUGGGUGUAAAGGGAGCGUAGGCGGUUGCUUAAGUCUGAUGUGGAAACCCGGGGCUCAACUUCGGGAUUGCAUUGGAAACUGGGCGACUAGAGUGUCGGAGAGGCAAGUGGAAUUCCCAGUGUAGCGGUGAAAUGCAUAGAUAUUGGGAGGAACACCAGUGGCGAAGGCGGCUUGCUGGACGAUCACUGACGCUGAGACUCGAAAGCGUGGGGAGCAAAC
rnacentral:rRNA from 1 species